CUGGUUGAUCCUGCCAGUAGUGAUAUGCUUGUCUCAAAGAUUAAGCCAUGCAUGUCUGAGUACAGACCGAUCUAAGGUGAAACCGCGAAUGGCUCAUUAAAUCAGUCAUAAUUCCUUGGAUAGUGAAAAACUUCCUCGGAUAACUGUGGAAAAUCCAGAGCUAAUACGUGCAACUGAGCUCCGACCUCGGCGCGAGCCAUGGGAAGAGCGCAUUUAUUAGAUUCAAAACUGACCGGCGUACUCCUCCGGGAUGCGCCGUUUGUCGAAAGUUUGAUGACUCCGGAUAACUUAGCCGAGCGCUACGGUCCUAGUACCGGCGCCGUAUCUUUCAAGUGUCUGCCUUAUCAGCUUUCGAUUGUAGGUUAAACGCCUACAAUGGCUGUAACGGGUAACGGGGAAUCAGGGUUCGAUUCCGGAGAGGGAGCCUGAGAAACGGCUACCACAUCUAAGGAAGGCAGCAGGCACGCAAAUUACCCACUCCCAGCCCGGGGAGGUAGUGACGAAAAAUAACGAUGCGAGACUCUUCCGAGGCCUCGCAAUCGGAAUGAGUCCAUUUUAAAUCCUUGGACGAGGAUCCAUUGGAGGGCAAGUCUGGUGCCAGCAGCCGCGGUAAUUCCAGCUCCAAUAGCGUAUAUUAAAGUUGCUGCGGUUAAAAAGCUCGUAGUUGGACUUCCUAGAUCCAUUUCGCGAGCGAGUCGCUCGUUGAGCUAGCGUUUCGCGUCAGUCACUCGAUGACGUCGGGGUGUAGGCGCGAGCCGCUGCCGUGGCGCGUCGUUGGCGUUCGCGUCGAUGCGAAUUGGCGCGUCGUUUUCGGCGUCCGCGGUUAGUUGGCUCGUUCGCGUCGCYCCGCGCCGAAUCUUGCGGACGGCGAGACGUUGUCUUCGAGUAUUGCUCGUUCGCGUCUGGUACAAUUAAAAUUUUGUCGGCUCGCUCGGAGUGCUCUUUACCGAGUGUUCCAGGGUGGCCGACACGUUCACUUUGAAAAAAUUAGAGUGCUUAAAGCGGGGCUUAUACGUGGCCUGAAUGUCUGUGCAUGGAAUGAAGUAACAGGACCUCGAUUCUGUUUUUUUUGUCGGUUUUAUUGAACCGAGGUAAUGAUUAAAAGGGACAGACGGUGGCAUUAGUAUUGCGGCGCUAGAGGUGAAAUUCUUGGACCGCUGCAAGACUAACUACUGCGAAAGCGUUUGCCGAGAAUGUUUUCAUUAAUCAAGAACGAAAGUUAGAGGAUCGAAGGCGAUCAGAUACCGCCCUAGUUCUAACCCUAAACUAUGCUAACUAGCGAUCCGCCGGAGUCAUUCCCACGACCCGGCGGGAAGCCCCAGGGAAACCAAAGUCUUUGAGUUCCGGGGGAAGUAUGGUUGCAAAGCUGAAACUUAAAGGAAUUGACGGAAGGGCACCACCAGGAGUGGAGCCUGCGGCUUAAUUUGACUCAACACGGGAAACCUCACCAGGCCCGGACAUCAUAAGGAUUGACAGGUUGAGGGCUCUUUCUCGAUUUGAUGGGUGGUGGUGCAUGGCCGUUCUUAGUUGGUGGAGUGAUCUGUCUGGUUGAUUCCGAUAACGAACGAGACUCUACCCUACUAACUAGUCGGCGGAUCGUAACCCUGAGAUGGUUAGUUCGUAUAGGGCGGUUUCGCGGAGAUGCGAUCCGCGUCGUGCGCGGGGCGUCUCGCGCGUGUUUCGGGAGUAUUCCGUUCGCGGAACUUUCGGUCGCGCGUGGAGGUGCUUUCGCGUCGCGGCGUUGGAUUUAGCGUCGAUGUAUCCGUCUGAUUACUGCUACUGCUGGGGGCGUCCGUCGCAAUGUAUCUUCUUAGAGGGAUCAGCGGCGUAUAGCCGCACGAGAAAGAGCAAUAACAGGUCUGUGAUGCCCUUAGAUGUUCUGGGCCGCACGCGCGCUACAAUGUAGAGACCAGCGUGCUUUCCCCCUCCGAAAGGAGCGGGUAACCCGUUGAAACCCCUACCCGAUUGGGAUUGGGGAUUGCAAAUAUUUCCCAUAAACGAGGAAUUCCCAGUAAGCGCGAAUCAUUAAUUCGCGCUGAUUACGUCCCUGCCCUUUGUACACACCGCCCGUCGCUACUACCGAUUGAAUGAUUCAGUGAGGGCAUCGGACUGGCGCCUUCGGUUUAGUAACAUAGACCUUAGGCUGACGGAAAGAUGUCCGAACUUGAUCAUUUAGAGGAAGUAAAAGUCGUAACAAGGUUUCCGUAGGUGAACCUG
rnacentral:rRNA from 1 species